rnacentral:rRNA from 1 species
GGGUCAGUAGUUUGGUCGUGCCAACGGUAUGUACUGGGCUCACUGAUUCCUCCUUCCUGAUGAACUGUAAUGCCAUUAAUUUGGUGUUGCAGGGAAACUGGACUGUUACUUUGAAAAAAUUAGAGUGUUUAAAGCAAGCUAACGCUUGAAUACAUUAGCAUGGAAUAAUGAAAUAGGACGUUCGAUCCUAUUUUGUUGGUUUCUAGGAUUGACGUA